AGUGCAGCGGUCGAUACGGUUGACCACUCAAUCCUCAUCUGAAGAAAGCGAGAGGUGGAAUUUCCCUGAAGAGCUUACAGCUUUGGCAAGCUAGCUACCGACCGAGCCGGAAUCAUCGGUGUGUGACAGUAGAAUCGAGAAAGAAGGAUCUCCUUGAAAUAGGAAUGGUAGGUUUGGGUACGUCUCUGCAAAGGCGACCCUGCUGUCGUAGAGGUCCCACGCCCGCUCCGCCCGCCUCCACCUCCCACCACCGCUUCCACCUCCAGCCACCGCCGGCGGAGAAGAGGAGGGACAGGCCCAAGCCACAGCCUCUUUGAGCUGAACCAGCGCACUCUCUCCCAGUGGUUCGCCCCGGAGGCCGAAGGCGUAGGAGAGCUGUGCUUCAGUGGUGUGUCUAACGUACACGCAUCAUAUACGCGAUCCUACCUCCUAAAUUUUGCAGAAAUGUAACUAAAGGAAAAUAAUUCAAAUUCAA